rnacentral:lncRNA from 1 species
UCCCAGCCAUCCAGAUUUUCAGCCAUCCACGUUUCAAAGCUUCCGUGAUCCAUUCCCAGCAUCCCGAUCACCUCCCAGCCGCCUCUUCCGCCCGUCCAACUUCCGUUUCAACAUUUUUCCAGCAUCACAGCCGGAACUCGCGUCCGAGCAUCCCACGUCCAUUGCUCCCGGAUCCGCAUCCCAGCUCUACCCCGCCGUCCGCUCCUCCCGCAGUACCCGAGAUCAGCGUCCACGAUCCUCUUGCAACGAUCUCCCAGCAUCCGCGAUCAGCUCCUGGGCGUCUCUGUGCAUCCAUUGGAAGAAGAUCGGGAUUCAUGCCAAGCCUCCACACCUCAGCUUCCUUCCGUGUCCCAUCCACCUCCCAGAUUUGAUGAACCCGCAUCCCUUGCUUCCGGAUCCGCGUCUCAGCCUUCCUCUCAGCCGAGCCCAACGCCCAUUCAUCCGCCUCUUCCAGAUUAGCAAGCAAUCAGCCUCCGUGAACAGAGCUCCUCAGCGGUCCGUGAUUCUUCCAUUUCCACGUGCAUUCAGCCCAGCGUCCGCUCUCAGCGUCGGAGCCGGCCGCAAUCACCUCCCAGCCCCAUUCCUCCGCCCUAAUCUUCUCACGCGGAAGAUUAUGUCCGCUUGAUAGGUCGGGAAAGCUAUAAAAAGGAGAUGGGGGAUCGGUUCAAGGGAGGCUCAUUUUGGGGGAGAAGAAGAGGAAGAACAGAGGAGGCGGGGGCUGCUGCGGUUGAAGGAAGGAAACAGAGGAGGAGCUCCAGCCGUUUGGGAAGGAAAGAAAAAAAAAGAGAGAGAGAGGAAACAAGGGAUGCCCUGUUUCCGAAAAGAAUAAAAAAAAAUGGUGAGGCUGAUUUUUGUAAUGGAAAGCUAAUUCUUUAGCAAAGGGUGAUGGAUGAACCCUUGUCAUGUUGCUUUCUUCAAGUACACUCUCAACUUUUAUUCUAAUUGAUUUAUAUCUAUUGGUAUAUUUUGGAUUCUUGCG